CUUUACGUUUCGAUGAAAAUGCAAAGUUUACAAAAACAUUCACUCAUAAUUACACUGGCCUUCUUACAAGAAUUGUACCGAUUGUUCUAACGUAACUUUAGUGAAAACAUAACCAUCCUAUGUCGACGCUUUUGACAUCACUAUUUUUAUGCGUUGUGUUUUUGAGCUGUAUUUCCCCGAUAGUGUACUUCACCGGUCAGAAAGUCACCCGCGAGUUGCUAAAGUUGUUAUAUUAUAUUGUAGCCCGUUUUGUGCAAGGGACGUUUUUUGGGACGUGUCAUGUGAAUUUACUAGCCAAUCAUCACUUAACAACAAACACACGGUUCAGGAAGUGGUUCAGUUGACAUAUGACUGACCGUCUUCAAAAAUUGGAAUAACUUUCAUCUGCAAUAGUGUCUUUGCUUUUCAGUGGUAGUACUGUCAGUUAAAACAGUAACUAUUUAUGGUGAUAUUAAUUGUGCUAUACAGAUCAAAUCAUCUAUUGUUUUUUGUGGAUUCUAAAGUAGUGCUGCUGUAAUUUGUUAUCUAAAAUCGUGAACUGUCUAUUACUCGCCCGCUCCAUUAAUGGCUAGUCCAGUCCCAAGUGUAUCUGAGUUGGUUGCAGAGGCUUGCCGUGUUUUCGAGCAGAGCUUCGGGGGAGAUGGUCCAGAAGUAGCAGUGUGUGCCCCCGGCCGGGUUAACUUGAUAGGGGAGCACACCGACUACAACCAAGGAUUCGUUCUGCCAAUGGCCCUGCCCCUAGUCACUGUGAUUGUAGGCAGUGCAACCUCUGGCCAGAGCAUCUCCAUCAUAACUGCUGCUAAAGAUGUGGAGGAGCCCAGGAGAGUAGACUUUGACCUGCCGAAUGAUAAGGCACCGCUGUCCCCCGGGAAACCCAGCUGGGCAAAUUAUGUGAAAGGAGUAGUGCAACACUACAGAGCUCCUCCAGUCCCAGGGUUCAGGGCAGUGAUAGCCAGUAGUGUCCCUGUAGGUGGAGGUCUGUCAAGCUCAGCCUCUCUUGAAGUGGCAAUGUACACAUUCAUACAGCAGCUCAAGCCAGAUGACGGAGACACAGUGGCAAAGGCAGUGGCUUGCCAAAAGGCAGAACAUACCCAUGCUGGCGUACCCUGUGGCAUCAUGGAUCAGUUUGUGUCUGUGCUUGGCAGGGAGGCUCACGCUCUACUCAUUGACUGCCGAUCUCUGGAGGCCACUCCUGUCCCUCUCUCUGAUCCAGAGCUGGUCAUCCUCAUCAGUAACUCAAAUGUCAAGCAUUCUCUCACAGGCAGUGAGUACCCUAGCAGACGAAAACAGUGUGAGGAGGCGGCUGCCAUCUUGGGAAAGGCCAGCCUGAGAGACGCCACACUAAAAGAUCUGGAGGAUGCUAAGAGUCAAAUGGAUGGUGAGACCUAUCGUAGGGCUUGUCAUGUGAUUGAGGAGAUAGCACGUACGGCCCAGGCUGCAGAAGCACUGAAGAAAGGGGCCUACACAGAGUUUGGCAGACUCAUGGUAGAGAGCCACACUUCGCUCAGGGACCUGUAUGAGGUGAGCUGUAAGGAGCUGGAUGAGCUGGUGUCUGCAGCCAUGGAGGUAGAGGGCGUGUUUGGCAGCAGGAUGACAGGAGGAGGAUUUGGAGGAUGUACUGUCACAUUAUUGCAGGCUGGAGCCGUAGACCGAACUAUGAAUCACAUACAGCUCCCUGGACCUACCGGAGGGUUUCUCUGAAAUGAAGUUGCUGAGGCGGGAGGCAGAUUUCUUCCAGAUACGCCCCCUAAUGGAUGAGAUACGUCGGCAUGUUGAGGCCGGACCACUCAGCCAGAGAGACUCAGCCAGAGGAGCCUUGCUGCUGGUGGACGUGGACUGCCAGGAGCAAUACAGCGGAACCCCAACUUUCUACAUCACAACUCCCUCACAAGGAGCUCGGGUCCUGAGCCUAUGAAGAGCAAACACCAG